ensembl:lncRNA
UAGGACAUCUCAUUUUAUUAAACAGCAAACAGUGAAUAACAGGGAAUACAAUAUCAUCUUAUUUGUGUUUUUCAUUUUCUUCAUCUUCUUAUGGGGUGUAGGGACUGACAGAGGGGGUGUGGGGACUGACAGAGGGGGUGUAGGGACUGACAGAGGGGGUGUAGGGACUGACAGAGGGGGUGGGGUGUAGGGACUGACAGGGGGGGUGUGGGGACUGACAGAGGGGGUGUGGUGUAAGGACUGACAUUAGAGGGACUGACAUUAGAGGGGGUGUGGGGCGUUGUGUAGGGACUGACAUUAGUGGGGGUGUGGGGCGUUGUGUAGGGACUGACAGAGGGGGUGUGGGGACUGACAGAGGGGGUGUGGUGUAGGGACUGACAUUAGAGGGACUGACAUUAUAGGGGGUGUGGGGCGUUGUGUAGGGACUGACAUUAGUGGGGGUGUGGGGCGUUGUGUAGGGACUGACAGAGGGGGUGUGGGGACUGACAGAGGGGGUGUGGUGUAGGGACUGACAUUAGAGGGACUGACAUUAUAGGGGGUGUGGGGCGUUGUGUAGGGACUGACAUUAGUGGGGGUGUGGGGCGUUGUGUAGGGACACCCCCUCUGUCAGUCCAUUGUCAUGUUAUAUUUAGGGAUGAUGCAUUGUAACUGUAUUGCGUAAAUUCAGCACUAUAGCGCAAUUGAAAUUUAAAAAGGCAAUGUUCCCUAAUUCGUGAAAUAAUGCAUUCAUGGUAAACCAUCACAUUUCAAUCCCAGCAUAGCGCUGAACUACCGCGGUACGGAUUGGAUGGAGCCCUCAAAGUCCUUUAAAGCACAACAGCAUUUCCUCUUGGAGGAAUACAGAGAACAGAGAGAGGUCUCACAGCCCCCAGGCCUUACGGGUGUCUCUGUAGAGCUGACUCUGUCUUAGAGAGUUACUACUGGUACACAUGGUGUGAUAGCAGCCCCCAGGCCUUACGGGUGUCUCUGUAGAGCUGACUCUGUCUUAGAGAGUUACUACUGGUACACAUGGUGUGAUAGCAGCCCCCAGGCCUUACGGGUGUCUCUGUAGAGCUGACUCUGUCUUAGAGAGUUACUACUGGUACACAUGGUGUGAUAGCAGCCCCCAGGCCUUACGGGUGUCUCUGUAGAGCUGACUCUGUCUUAGAGAGUUACUACUGGUAAAUACAUGGUGUGAUACCCCGUGUUCAAAAUGAUGCAUUUCUCAUUCCAAGAUGACACUGUUCCAACACCAAGAGCUCAUUGCCUUGUGUUGUCUAGUGUUUCAGUGAGAGGAUAUUAUCUUUUCCCUUCUCUCUCUGUUUCUCACCUCUCUCUCUGUUUCUCUCCUCUCUCUCCCCCACAUUGCCUUGAGUUGUCUAGUGUUUCAGUGAUAGGAUAUUAUCUUUUCCCUUCUCUCUCUGUUUCUUACCUCUCUCUCUGUUUCUCUCCUCUCUCUCCCCCACAUUGCCUUGAGUUGUCUAGUGUUUCAGUGAUAGGAUAUUAUCUUUUCCCUUCUCUCUCUGUUUCUUACCUCUCUCCCCCCCUCUCUCUGUUUCUCUCCUCUCUCUCCCCCACAUUGCCUUGUGUUGUCUAGUGUUUCAGUGAUAGGAUAUUAUCUUUGUAUGACUAGUAUCAUAGUGAGUUUUGAUGUGAUCUUGUGCCUAAUAUUCCUUUGUGCUUUAAAAAAAAGAAGAGUGUAUAUAUAUAUAUAUAUAUAUACUCUAAAAUGUCUUAUUUUGGUGUUCCAAUCAGACAGAAAUAUACACAUUAGUCAUUUAGCAUCUUAUCCAAUCAGACAGAAAUAUACAUGUUAGUCAUUUCGCAGACGCUCUUAUCCAGAGCAGUUAGGGUUAAGUGCUUCGCUCAAAGAAACGUCAACAUAUGUUUUUCCCCUAGUCGGCUCAGGGAUUCGAACCAAUAACCUUUUGGUUACUGGCCCAAACACUCUUAACCACUAGGCUACCUGUUGCCAUACGGAGGUCACACUAACCGACUGAAAACUACAGCAUUACGACACAGUCACUGGCCCAAACACUCUUAACCACUAGGCUACCUGUUGCCAUACGGAGGUCACACUAACCGACUGAAAACUACAGCAUUACGACACAGUCAGACACACACACACCACAUACUCUACUGUACACUCACAAGCAGAUCGAAGUGGUAAGUGCAAAUUCACAACUGAUCAAACGAAACGGAAAUGACAUCAUUAAUUCAACAUGUUUGAAGAUUUAAACCGUAACAAGAAAUCAUGAGAAAAAGGGUAAAACAUUAUAAAAAUUUAAAUCGAGAAAACAAUAACAAUUGUCAACAAUCACAACAGCCAUUUGCAAUCACAAUGAUGACAUCAUUCGAGACGAGUUAAGCGAUUGGAAUGUUUUGAGGAAAAAAACAACAUGAAUAAAAUAACAUUUUGAGAUCAAUAAGCUCCAUCCCAAAUGGCACACUAUUCCAUUUACAGUGCACUACUUUUGACUAGGGCCUAUGGGGACGAGUGCACUAUAUAGGAAAUAGGGUGCCAUUUUGGGAUGCAGACUCUGUCUCUCUGGUCAUGGCAGGGUGGUCCUAGGUCUCCUAUAGGAGGACUUCCCUAGCUACCUCACCUCUACAGAAUAGGACCGAACCAGGUCGGCUCUCACACUGUAAGACAGAGAUAGUUGUUACUACUGACACCUUGGGCACUGACACCUUGGGCACUGACACCUUGGGCACUGACACCUUGGGCACUGACACCUUGGGCACUGACACCUUGGGCACUGCCACCUUGGGUACUGCCACCUUGGGUACUGCCACCUUGGGCACUGCCACCUUGGGCACUGCCACCUUGGGUACUGCCACCUUGGGCACUGCCACCU